UCUGUGUCGAGAUACGUGCCUCUUUUCUCGAAAGUACGUAAUGUCGCGAUUCCAAAGCAAUACGAUAUUACAGACAGAAAGUUAAUUAUCUCACAUCUCGGAAAAUACUUGUAAUGUUAUACUUGUUGUUGACGAAAUUCGUGCUAAUGUUGGGUUUUGAGCUAGCGCCCAAUAGACUCCCAUUCACUCCUUGCAGGAGCGCUCCUUGUCUCAGAAUCGCCCAGAAUGCUCCACGCGGACCAUUGACGUAGCAUGGGCAACGUUUCCCAUUGCCUCAAGUUUAUAUAUAUUUAUAUUUAUAUAUGUAUAUUAUGCCUUUGUGAAUGUAAGACUUUCUCGCUCUGAGGCACAUCGAUAUACAGGUUGAACAUGGUGAGACGCCUAAGUUGAUAUUGCAGGAUGUUUAGGGGUGUCACUUGAGUGGGUUGAGUCACUGACGUGGUCUUCCUGUCUGGGUUGGCGCCACCCCUUGGGUUGUGCCAUGGCGGAGAUCUUUGUGGGCUAUACUCGGCCUUGUCUCGGGAUGGUAAGUUGGUGGUUUGAGAUAUCCCUCCAGUGGUGUGGGGGCGAUGCUUUGGCAAAGUGGGUGGGGUUAUAUCCUACCUGUUUGGCCCUGUCCGGGGGUUUCAUCGGAUGGGGCCACAGUGUCUCCUGACCCCUCCUGUCUCAGCCUCCAGUAUUUAUGCUGCAGUAGUUUAUGUGUCGGGGGGCAAGGGUCAGUCUGUCACAUCUGGAGUAUUUCUCUUGUCUUUUCCGGUGUCCUGUGUGAAUUUAAAUAUGCUCUCGCUAAUUCUCUCUUUCUCUCUUUCUUUCUCUCUCUCGGAGGACCUGAGCCCUAGGACCAUGCCUCAGGACUACCUGGCUUGAUGACUCCUUGCUGUCCCCAGUCCACCUGGCCGUGCUGCUCCUCCAGUUCCAACUGUUCUGCCUGCGGCUAUGGAACCCUGACCUGUUCACCGGACGUGCAACCUGUCCCAGACCUGCUGUCCCAGACCUGCUGGAACCCUGACCUGUUCACCGGACGUGCUACCUGUCCCAGACCUGCUGUUUUCAACUCUCUAGAGACAGCAGGAGUGGUAGAGAUACCCUCAAAGAUCGGCUAUGAAAAAGCCAACUGACACUUACUCUUGUGUUACUGACUUGUUGCACCCUCGACAACUACUAUGAUUAUUAUUAUUUGACCAUGCUGGUCAUUUAUGAACAUUUGAACAUCUUGGCCAUGUGCUGUUAUAAUCUCCACCCGGCACAGCCAGAAGAGGACUGGCCACCCCAGCCUGGUUCCUCUCUAGGUUUCUUCCUAGGUUUUGGCCUUUCUAGGGAGUUUUUCCUAGCCACCAUGCUUCUACACCUGCAUUGCUUGCUGUUUGGGGUUUUAGGCUGGGUUUCUGUACAGCACUUUGAGAUAUCAGCUGAUGUAAGAAGGGCUAUAUAAAUAAAUUUGAUUUGAUAUCAUUUGGGCCUAUGGAAUUACUGUGUAGCUACGUUUUCUCGCUAGCUACAUAGCCAGCCAGCCCAUAGAGAGAACAUUGCAUUGUGUAUUUUGUAGUUGACUUGAGCUGCAACGAUUUCCACAAUAAUUUUCCAUGUUGCUACCAACCUUAUUAUA
rnacentral:lncRNA from 1 species